rnacentral:tRNA from 1 species
UCCCUGGCAGUCCAGUGGUUAGGACUCUGUGCUUUUGCCUCUGAGGUUGCAGGUUCUAUCCUUGCUUGGGGAA